CCCUUUUCGAACUGCUAGGGACUGCCUCCGUACCUUGAAAUCUAUUCAGGAAUGCAUUUAUGAAACUCCAAACAAAGUGAGUCAACGCAUUCAUAUCAUAUGUCUGUAAAGCAGUUUCACUUUCAAAAGCAGAUGGACACUUGAGCAAACAGGCACUGAAAAGUCCACCAGCAGCUUGGGCAAGGGGCGAGGGAGAAACAUUGACGGCAGUACCCCUCUAUGCGAUGCAUGUGCGACGGUGAGCCUGGAGUGUGUGAAACUGCUCAUACAGCAUGGGGCUACGGUCAACCCUCCACUGUUUACCUCCACACCCAUCCCGAGGCCUGCGUGGGAGGUAACUCUUGAGUGUGUUCAGCUCAUGAUAGAUGUAGGAGCUCUGAUGGAGGCCCAUGACUGCCACUUUGUAGCAGCAUCCCAAAUAUAUUGACAUAGUAAAAUAAAUGUGUGUAAAAAAAUAAAGGAUAUUUCAUGCUGAAAUGCUCAUUAAAAAAUGGUAUUCACUAAGUUGCUGGUUUAUAUUUAGGAUAAUGUUUUACAGAUUUGUCAUUCUAUUUGUUAUUUUAAAAUCAUCUUAUUUAAUUAUUUCAUAUAUUUUACAUGUAAUAAGGCAACAGGGACAGAGAUAAUUAGACACCUGUGAUAAUCUGAAGUACCAAAAAGGGCCACUAGAUGUCUUGUGAUAGAUUACAUAAAAUCCUUGAAAGAUAUGAAAGGUUUCCAGUAAUAUACCCUCCCUUUGCAACCCUUCUCCAAGACAGCACAAACAGAUCUGGGACCAGGCUAGUCUCGUCCAACCUGAAUUCUUAAAUCUUCUAGCUAAGCUUUUAGGAUUGUGUAAAUAAUACAAUAAAUGUAUUUGAUUUGUGUAAAUUCCAUUAAUACUCUAUAUGUAUGUGGCCAAAUGCAAGACUAUUAAGUUUAUAAGUGUGAAAUUGUCUUCUUCUGCGUGAUCUCUGCAUGAUUGGAGUGUUGAAAAUGUGGGUGUUACGGGUGUCAAGUACACCCCUUCAAAUGAAUAUCUGCAGGUUAUCAUAUUCAAUCAUGUUAAUACUUUUUACCCUUCAAUUUUUUGCUUUACUGAAGUUACAUUUGAAAUAAUAUGUUAAAGGUUGGAAAAUAAAAAGUGCCAUAUUCAGUACUUUUUGAGGACGAGAAAUUCAAAACUAUGACAAACUGUCACACGAAACGCUCUGUUUGAGAAGAAUGAGGAAGGAACGUCUUGUCUGAUGGUACGGAUGUGGCCAUGGAAGUAGGGGCUUACCAUGGUUAGAACAGUUGCACAAGUAAGCAUAGUUUAAAGGUGAUUGUUAGCGUCCGAGCAUGCUGACACACACAGACCAGAGUACUUCCUCUUUCUUAGAUUAGAUAACAUUAGAUGACUUCUGUUUUUUGUUUUUUUAAUGUAUUUUAUUCAUAAUACAAAAAUCAACUUACAUUGCUACAUCAAACAUGUCUAGCAAACCAAACACAGGU